AGAGAUGGAAACUUGAUCAUCAAUAACUUUACAGCCAGUGAUUCAGGAACAUACAAAGUUUUGGGCUCUGAAGGAGAAACCUUGAUCACAGUGACUGUUGAAGGAUCUCGUUCAGGUGGUAAACCCAGGAGUGAUGCUGAACAACACAAGCACUGGAUUGGACCGGCUGGGCUGCCUGGGUUUAUUUGGGUGGUUCUUUGCCUUUUUUAAAAGAAGAAAGAUACACCGAUAUCUGGAUGCAGGUCUGAGAAGGUUCUGCAUUUGAUGAAGAACCAUCUUUAUGACUAUUAAAAAUUAUGUUCUAUAAUAUUAAUGCAAUCCAGAUGUGCUACAUCUGCCAUAUUGUCAUGUGACCUAUCCCGAAAGUAGUAGGACAUCCAGGUUCUUUCUGACAGCUGUUUUAUAAGUAUUACAAGGUUUUAUUGCCAUCUGAAUCCAUAAUGUCAGUGUGUUUCUCCCACCACCCGCAUAUUUCCCUGACUGAAUUACCUACUGUUUUUUUUUUUUAACAAAUAAAAAAGGUCAUGUGGUAAUUUCACUGCUGCCAAAUCCACAUCCGAGUUUACAAGAUGGGAUCAAUUUUAAAUUCACUGUUUAAAUUCUUUUUGGCAGCUCCAUAUGAUAACUGUUGUGCUUUACUGUAAUUUGCAUUAAAGAUCUACACUUUUAUUACUGAAAGAUAUAUAGCAUAUUAUUGCACCAAAGGA